rfam:Metschnikowia bicuspidata var. bicuspidata NRRL YB-4993 METBIscaffold_1, whole genome shotgun sequence.
UAGUCUAUAUCUCAAUGGUAGAGAGUAUGAUUGAUAAUCGUAAGAUAUAGGUUCAAUUCCUAUUAGACCAA